ACGCGCGCACAGCUGGCUCGAGCUGAUCGAGUAGAUAAGGUAGAUGGAUAUUAUUAGUUUUCCCUUAGGAGUUAUCAGUUCCAUAAUUUCAGGAGUUUGUUACUCCAGUUAGUUGGGCUAUGGCCCUAUAUAUUCUUGUAACCAGGACCAUUAAGGCAAGCAGAUUAUUAGCCUCAUCUCUCUCUUAUUUUCUAAAAGCCUACGGUAGAGGGGAAUAACCUCACCGGAGAAGACGGCCGACGGCUACGAGCUCCGUAGCCGCGGUCCAGCCAGCCAAGGGUUUUGUGAGAGAGUUGGAAGCGUGUGUUUGUAUAUUGAUAAUGAUAGACAGCACAUGUACAGGAAUAUAUAGGGGAGGAAGGUGAGAGGUAAAAGGAAGCCUUCUACACCUAAGGAAAGAUCUAGAGUACAAUCAGAUCCUCAAUCAUAGUGAUUGAGAUCCUCAAUCAGAUCCUCAAUCAUAGUGAUUGAGAUCCUCCCCUAAUCCUCUCUAUCUAUAUCAGACAAUACUUCCAUAUAGGGCGGCCGGCAUAUCUGCCAGGCGACAGCCAGGAUACAGUUUCUAACACCCCCCCGCAGUGUUAGCGUCCGUGGAGCGAACGGUAAGACUGGUCCGAAAUUCAGUGAAGACUGCUGAUGGUAAGCCUUUGGUGAAGAUGUCGGCGUACUGAGAAGUCGUCGGGACAUGUAGCACGCGAACAACACCGAGGGCGACCUUGUCACGGACGAAGUGAAGAUCAAUUUCCACAUGCUUGGUGCGCUGAUGCUGAACAGGAUUGGAGGACAUAUAAACAGCACUGAUGUUGUCACAGUAGACCAAUGAGGACUUGGGGAGAGGAACAUGCAGUUCUGUCAACAACUGUCGUAACCAGGAUACUUCAGCGACUGCAUUGGCAACAGCGCGGUACUCGGCUUCGGCACUGGAGCGGGAGACCGUGUUCUGGCGCUUGGAAGACCAUGAGACGAGGUUAGCACCGAGGAAAACAUCAUAACCGGAAGUAGAUCUCCUGGUGUCUGGACAGCCAGCCCAAUCAGCAUCAGAGUAAACCACAAGUUCCAUUUGCGGAGAGGAACUGAGGUGAAGGCCCAUCUGAAGAGUGCCUCGGAUAUAGCGCAGGAUACGCUUGAGAGCAGCCAAAUGAGGUUCCCGAGGGUCGUGCAUAUGGAGACAGACUUGCUGAACAGCAUAUGCAAUAUCCGGACGGGUGAAGGUGAGGUAUUGUAGUGCGCCGGCAAGACUGCGGAAUUCCGUGGGAUCGGAGACAGGGUCACCGUCGGCUGAAAGUUUGGGGUUGAUAUCAACAGGAGUUGUACAGGGUUUGCAGUUACUCAUACCAGCUCGCUCAAGUAUCUCAAUCAUAUACUGGCGCUGAGAAAGAGUGAUGCCAGAAGCAGAUUGUUGAACAUGCAUGCCCAGGAAGUGAUGAAGGGGGCCAAGAUCCUUCAGUGAAAAUUCCUGUUGGAGAGCAGUAAUAGUCCGCCGGAGAAGAUUCAUGGACGAAGCAGUUAGCACAAUAUCAUCCACGUAAAGAAGAAGGUAAAUCAUAUCUGUGCCCUUGUGGUAGACGAAUAAUGAAGUGUCAGACUUGGCCUCAACGAAUCCAAUUUGAAUCAAGUGAGAAGCAAAUCUACUGUACCAGGCACGAGGGGCCUGUUUGAGGCCAUAAAGUGACCGAUUGAGACGGCACACAUAAUCAGGAUGAGUGGAAUCUUCAAAACCGGUGGGCUGAACACAGUAAACAGUUUCUGACAGGGUCCCCUGAAGAAAAGCAUUGUUGACAUCAAGCUGGUGAAUCGGCCAUUUGUGUGAGAGAGCCAGGGAAAGAACGGUCCGGACUGUAGCUGGCUUGACCACUGGACUGAAAGUUUCUGAAAAAUCAAUACCAGGGCGUUGAGUGAAACCCCGAAGAACCCAUCUUGCCUUGUAGCGCUCAAGAGAACCAUCAGCUUUGAACUUGUGUUUGAAAACCCACUUGCCAGUCACAACAUUGCAAUUCGGCGGUCGAGGCAGAAGAUCCCAAGUGUGAUUACCAAUAAGAGCAGAAUAUUCCUGUUCCAUAGCGGAGCGCCAAUUUGAAUCAGUAAGGGCUACGCGAUAUGUCCUCGGAAUGGGGGACAGUGCGGCGGCUUCAAAAAGAGCAGGAAACCGAAGACCACUCUUGCCGCGGGUUGUCAUCCUGUGGUGGUUGACCACUGGAUCGACAGGAACUGCACCAGCAGGAAUAGGUGGUGCAGUGGCGGUCGUCGGAGAAGGUGCUGGAGCAGUAGCGGUGGGCGGGCGUCGAGAGUAGACCCGUCCGCAGAAACGAUCAGCAGGAGCUGUCGUUCUAUGGACGUCGGGUACGGUAGUAGACCCAGGCGGCAGUAUUGUUGGUGCCGAUGCGCCUGGGAGACCAGCCAUCCGGGCAGGAGACUGGGACACCGGGGCAGGCCCAGCUGGCGCGGCAGGUGGCUGAAAUGCCACCUCUGAGGAGACGAGGGGCACAGCCGGCGAAGGGGCCACCGGUGGGGGUGGUGGUGGCAUACGAGUACCUGAAAAAGAAGACACGGGCGACAGUCCAAAAGGAGCUGCAACCGGGUUAGUGUAAUUGUCAAGGAAAUCGAAGGCCGCUGGUGGGGGUGGAUGGGAAGCCUCAGAAAAGGGAAACGAGGUUUCAUCAAAAACCACAUGACGGGAGAUAAUGGUGCGAUUGGAGUGGCGAUCAAAGCAUAGGUAGCCUUUGUGGUGGGGGGAAUAGCCAAGGAAGACACAAAGGGUUGAGCGAGGGGAUAAUUUAUGUGGAGUGGUGGCAGAAAGGUUGGGGUAGCAUUUGCAGCCAAAAACGCGAAGGUGGUCAUAGGAUGGGUUGUGACCGAAGAGAGCAAAAUGCGGUGUAGAGAGUGCGAGUGUUUUUGUGGGUAGGAUGUUGAGAAGGUAUGUUGCAGUCCCAAGAGCCGCAGCCCAAAAAUUGGGGGGAACACUGGAUUGAACGAGGAGGGUGCGGAUGAUAUUGUUGAUGGAACGGAUGACACGUUCAGCCUUACCAUUUUGAGCUGAAGUGUAGGGGCAAGACAUGCGCAGAUGGACUCCAUGGGAGGAGAAAAAAUUGCGGGCUUGAAGGUUGUCAAAUUCGCGGCCAUUGUCGCACUGGAUGCUCUGGAUAGGGACACCAAACUGCGUACGAACGUAGGCAAAGAAAUUGGUUAAGGUGGAAAGGGUGUCAGAUUUGAGACGUAAGGGAAAUGUCCAUAAAUAGUGAGAGCAGUCAUCCAAAAUAACAAGAUAAUAUUUGUGGCCAGACACACUGGUGAUGGGUGAUGUCCAGAGGUCACAGUGAAUUAACUGAAAAUUACAAGUGGCGCGGGAGGAAGAAACAGGAAAUGGUAGACGGACAUGUCGUCCGAGUUGACAAGCAUGACAAGGAUGAGUACUAGUGUUUUUAUUACAGGAAAUUGCGGAUGACUGCGCUAAAUGUGAUAAAACGGCGUGACCGGGAUGUCCAAGUCGUUGGUGCCAUAGGGUAGAUGCAAGAAGAGCAGAGGCCGGGAACCGCAGGGGGUAUAGUGGACCAGAGUUGUUACAUCUGAAGAUCUCGCGCCGAGUGGGAAGAUCCUUCACAGAGCAGCCAAAAGGAUCAAAUUCAACAGAGCAAUUAUUAUCAGUGGUAAAUUGACGGACAUAAAUCAGAUCCUUAAUGAGCGAGGGGGAAACUAGAACAUUAUGAAGAGAAAGGUUAUAGGGAAGACGAGUGGUGCCAGUGGAGGUAACAGGGAUAAGAUGUCCGUUGCCAACGACAAUAUGGGUAGGAAGAUGCUGGGAAGAGGGGGGAUGAGAUAUUAUACCAGCGUCAGAUGUCAUGUGACUGGAGGCACCAGUGUCAAAGUGCCACUCUUGUUGGGGUGGCUGCUGAAGAGUGACAGUUUGGAAGUUGGCAGCGAGGGUGUGUUGAUCCCAGACGGGUGCAGGCGUAGAAGGAUCGGCGUAGGCAGGGGGCGGCCCAUAUGCUGCAGCAGGGACAGCCCACUGACCAGGAGUGCCGGCGACGAAGGCAUGUGGUGGUGGGGGCGAGGCAGCAGGCGGACGAGGAGUCGAAGGUGGACGUUGGCCAGGCCACAUGUAGAUGGCCCCCGUCCAAGGGUUGUAGUAGUUGUAGUUGGAGGAGGGUGCAGGGCCAAUGAUGCCGCUGCUGCUGUUGCUGGAGGUUCUACCACCGCGCUUGCCUCGCUUGCCGCGUUGUCCGGAGGAGGAGCCAUGACCGGAACCGCCCCCGGAAUGGUGGGAGGGCGGGCGCUGAUGUGAAGAACGCCCAGCGGGAGUGGUGGGUGUAGAUGACUUGGAGCUGCUGUUCUCGCCAGGUGGUGUAGUAACAGCAGCGAGAGCUGCUGCAGGAGCAGCAUUAGUCAUGGUGAGUUCCUCCAGAGUGAGAUCAUCGCGGACCUGCAAAAAAGUGGGGAGAGGGGAGGUGCGACGGAGGUGAAGGCCGAGCGCUUGAAAGCGUUCGUUGAGGCCGCGAAUGAUGUUGAGGACAAGGGUCUUGUCGGAGACCGGCUCGCCAAGAUCGCGAAGAUCUUCGGCAAGCUUUUUGUAGCGGCGGCAGUAAUCAGCUGCGGAGAGGUCGCCCUGAGUGAAGGAGCGGAAAGCUUGGUCGGCGUAUAGAGUGCGCGUCGUGCGGUUCCCAAGAAAUUGGGACUCGAUGGCGAGCCACAGGACGCGAGCAGAUGCACCGCGCUCGGAGAUCGUAUCGGCGAGGUUGUCGGUGAUGGAGCCGUUGAUCCAAGACAGAACAACGGCGUUCAUGCGAGUCCAGUCGGGCGAGUGGUGGACAGCAUCAGACAGCACGUGGCAAUCCAGAGAGAAUUUGGUGAGGGUUAGGAGGAAGGACUCACGCCACCGAGAGUAGAAGGUGGAGUUGACGUCGAGGAGGAGUGGAACGAGGGCCCGGAUGUUCUGCACGGCGACGGCUUGAGCGUGCAGAUUGAGAAGUGCAGCCGCUUCGUGUUGGAGAAGAGCGGCAGAAAGCUGGGCGACGGAGUCAGCACCAGUGCCGUCGGAGGUGAGGUCGUUGAUGGGGGGAGAGAGGGCCGCCGCCGCGCGCUCGUGAGCUGCACGGGCGAGGGCCGCACGGAUGCGGGCGUCGGCGGCGUCGCGCUCGCGCUGGGCGAGGGCGGCGUCCUGCUCUGCAGCGGCGGCGCGAGCCAAAGCAGCCUCACGGGCAGCCAGGGCCGCGCGCUCAGAAUCAGCAGAGACGUCGCCGUCAAGAUCGGUGAUGGCCGGAGAGGUUGGCUGGAGGUCGGCCAUGGGGAGAAGCAGCGCCGUAGGGGAGGCGCGCGGGGGGUGGAGGGCAGGAAUCAGGACCUAGGCGGCUGAUACCAUGUGAGAGAGUUGGAAGCGUGUGUUUGUAUAUUGAUAAUGAUAGACAGCACAUGUACAGGAAUAUAUAGGGGAGGAAGGUGAGAGGUAAAAGGAAGCCUUCUACACCUAAGGAAAGAUCUAGAGUACAAUCAGAUCCUCAAUCAUAGUGAUUGAGAUCCUCAAUCAGAUCCUCAAUCAUAGUGAUUGAGAUCCUCCCCUAAUCCUCUCUAUCUAUAUCAGACAAUACUUCCAUAUAGGGCGGCCGGCAUAUCUGCCAGGCGACAGCCAGGAUACAGUUUCUAACAGGUUUAACGCCCUUGACAACCUGGUAUCGCGAUCUAGACGAUCCUCACCAUCCCAACUCAACACCUCUUCCGCAGCCUCCAUCAGCCGCCAAUUUCAGCCGCCGCCAUCACCACAAUCUUCCACUGCCUCCUCAACAGCACCAGCCACCAUGACCGAACCUACCCUCGCCGACGUGCUUGCAUCGCUGAAAUCCCUCACCUCGGAGCUCCAAUACAUGAAGGCAGAGGUGACCGCCUUGAAGGAAAAAUCCGACUCAACGUCGGAUAACGACGGCAGACGACGGUCGGAUGGAAUGCGUGAUCCGGACCCGCCACCGCAACACAAAAAGUGGGAUUUUCCCCGCUUUGACGGCACGACAGAUCCAAUGCUCUUCCUCAACAAGUGCGAGGCCUACUUUCUCCAGCAUCGCACUAUGGCGGAGGAACGCGUGGGACGAGCUUCGUACCAUAUGGACGACAUCGCGCAGCUGUGGUACACCCAACUACAAGAGGACGAGGGCACACCAACGUGGGGGCGAUUCAAGGAGCUCCUGAACCUGCGAUUUGGGCCUCCCCUCCGUUCAGCCCCAAUGUUCGAACUCGCCGAAUGCCGGCGUUCGAGCACAGUCGAGGAGUACGCCAAUCGUUUCCAAGCCCUCCUGCCUCGCGCGGGUCGCCUUGACGAGGCUCAACGCGUACAACUCUUCACGGGGGGUCUUCUUCCACCACUCAGCCACGUCGUCCGCAUUCACGGACCAGAGACGCUCGUGGCAGCCAUGAGUUUAGCGCGGCAGGUGGAACUAAUGGAGUCUGAGCGGCCGGCGCAGCAACCUCCUCGGGCGCCAUCGCGCGGUCAGCCAUCCGCAUACAACCCUCGGGCCGCACUACCUGCGACUCCGCCACUGAUGGCACAUUCCGCCCCUCCGGUGGUCGCCCAGCAGGGCCGCGGCGAAGGGAACCAGCGACGCCUCACUCCGGACGAGAUGGCAGAGCGGCGCCGCCAAAACCUGUGCUUCAACUGCAAUGAACGGUAUACUCGGGGCCACAACAGGUUCUGCAAGCGCCUUUUCUUCAUCGAGGGCGUGGAGAUCGACGACGCUAUAGACAGCAGCGCUGCUGCAGCAGCCGACACAGGGGAGACGGACGCGCCCAUCUUUUCCCUCCAUGCAGUGGCGGGCGUGUCCAUGGGAAAGACCAUGCAGAUCCGCGUCGUGGUGGGCGCGACAACUCUCAUCGCCCUCCUCGAUACUGGCUCCACCCACAACUUCAUUGCCGAAGAGGCGGCACGACGAUCCGGGCUGCCCAUCCUACCCCGACCGCGACUCACGGCAACGGUGGCUAACGGCGACAAGGUGCCAUGUCCGGGGGUCAUCCGACAUGCCCCAAUCACCAUCAACGAUUUCAGUUUCGCCGUCGACCUGUUCGUUCUACCGCUUGCAGGGUAUGACUUGGUGCUCGGCACCCAGUGGAUGGAGAACCUCGGGCGUUUGACGUGGGACUUCACCGCGGGCACAGUGUCAUUUGUGCGCCAUGGCCGCACGAUCUGCUGGGCAGGGGUGCCGUUUCCGGAGGCGGUGGAGUCCUGUGCGGCCGCGACAUCGGCGCCUUUGCUCGAUGAGCUCCUUGUCGGUUUCGGGGAUGUCUUCAGGGAGCCGCAAGGACUGCCACCCACGCGCAACUGUGACCAUGCCAUCACCCUCAAGCCCGAUGCACAACCGGUGGCGGUUCGCCCCUAUCGCUAUCCGGCUGCACACAAGGACGAGAUGGAGCGGCAAUGCGCCGCAAUGAUCACACAGGGCAUUGUCCGGCGUAGCGUCUCGGCGUUCUCAUCGCCAGUACUCCUCGUCAAGAAGGCGGACGGCGCAUGGCGUUUUUGCGUCGACUACCGGGCCCUGAACGCACUCACCAUCAAGGACGCGUUCCCGAUUCCCGUUGUCGAUGAGCUGCUCGACGAACUUCACGGUGCCCGUUUCUUCACCAAACUCGACCUACGGUCGGGAUAUCACCAAGUUCGCAUGCGGCCUGAUGACAUCCACAAGACGGCGUUUCGAACUCACGACGGCCUCUACGAAUUUUUGGUGAUGCCAUUCGGAUUGUGCAACGCCCCGGCAACAUUUCAGGCACUCAUGAACGACGUCUUACGGCCAUUUCUGCGGCGCUUCGUACUUGUCUUUUUCGAUGACAUUCUUAUCUACAGCCAGACAUGGGCGGAGCACCUGCGCCAUCUUCGCGUCGUGCUCACUGAGCUCCGGAGACACCAACUCUUCGUCAAGCACAGCAAGUGCGCGUUCGGCGAGCAGUCGGUCUCCUACCUGGGCCACAACAUCUCGGCAUCCGGCGUCGCCAUGGACCCGACCAAGGUGCAGGCCAUCCGCGACUGGUCUGUACCUCGGUCCGCUCCACGGUUUACAAAACCGUUUAGCCUACAAAAACCGCUACCCACCGGUAACGGUUUACCGUCGGUAAACCGGUGAAAACCGGUAAAAACCGACCGGUUUGACCAAUUCAAAUCAAUUUGAAUUCGAAACGGUUUACCGGUGAAAAACCGGUGAAAAACCGGCGAGAAAUCGCUCUAAACCGUCGGUUAACCGUGAAACAAACCGGUUUUUGCUGUUUUUUACAGAAAAAAUGAAAUUUUUUGACAAGAUUUAUUUGUAGCUUGCUCAAUUCACAUUGCACAGUAAAUAUUAAUUGAUCUACACGACAUAUGUUCACCAAAAUAACAUACAACAUACAUAUGCAACCACAAACUCCAGUUCUCAUGCAACAAACAACCAGCGAACUUCGCAAUACUCAAAUACAAGUUCUUUUAUAACUCUCCAACAAGGCAAUUACACAUAGGUCAACUUAUUUCACAAUACUCAUAUGUUCAGCUCGAGUCAUAGUGAUAGUACUUAGGCAUAUUGGAAGUAUCGUGAUAUUGUUCCAAUCCGUCAUAGUGAUAGUGAUAGGUCUAUAGAUGUGAGAUACAUUAUCGAGAAAACAAGAACGGCAAACAAAUACUUAUCCACAAAGCAAAAAAUAUAUCGGUAUGUGUGUUUGGUGUUUGUGUAUUGCAUGUGCACCUCACCAAGUGUUGAACGUUUCUUCUGAUCAGCAAAUCUUAGGAACACAUACAUAAGAACUGGAGCUAAGGGUUCUAGAUUGAGUUUUGUCCAGACGGAUACUUAUUAGAAGAACUAAAGCUACUUGAUCCACGGAAUCCAUCUUGGACAGGAAAUGAAACCAAAUUUAACCACUAAAUGCCUAAACUUGACUUGAGCUACGGGAUUCAUUUUCAUAUAUAGCAUAUAACAUCUUCGCAUAUAGCUUAUAACAUUAAACAAGACUAAUAUAUACCUAAAUUGAUCAUUAAAUACUUAAUAGUGGCAUUAAAUCCGGUUUCCCGGCAGAAAAUAUCGGUUUACCGGUCUAAAAUAACGGUUUACCGGUCCCAAAAACGGUUUAUCAGCGGUUUUCGGUUUUUAUGAAAUUUUUCAAAUUUUUUAAAUUUGGAACGAAUUUGAAAAAAAAACCGGUGGUUAACCGAAACCGCACCCCGGCGAUUUCGGUAAACCGACCGGUUUACCGCCGGUUUUUACCGGUUUUGUAAACCUUGGUCCGCUCGGGCUGUGCGCGGCUUCCUCGGCUUGGCGGGCUACUACCGCAAAUUUGUCCACAACUACGGCACGGUCGCCGCUCCGCUGACCGCUCUCCUAAAAAAGGAGGGGUUCUCCUGGAACGACGCUGCGGCCGCGGCUUUUGAAGACCUCAAGUCUGCAGUCACUUCAGCGCCCGUCCUCGCCAUGCCAGAUUUCGCCAAGUCCUUCACCGUUGAGUGCGACGCUUCCUCUUUUGGUUUUGGCGCGGUCCUCAUCCAGGGAGGCCACCCGAUCGCUUUCUUCAGCAGGCCGAUCACUCCUCGUCAUCGCGCACUCGCUGCCUACGAGCGUGAGCUCAUCGGCCUUGUUCACGCCGUGCGGCACUGGAGGCCGUACUUGUGGGGACGCCGUUUUUUGGUGAAGACAGAUCACUACAGCCUCAAAUACUUGCUGGACCAGAGGCUCUCGACGACGCACCAGCACCGUUGGGUGGGGAAGCUUCUCGGCUUCGAUUUCGCCGUCGAGUACAAAUCCGGAGCAACGAACGUGGUCGCCGACGCGCUCUCACGCCGCGACACGGAGGACGGCGAGGAAGGAGCCACGCUAGCGCUCUCGGCUCCACGCUUCGACUUCAUCACUCGACUCCGACAGCACCAAGGCUCGGACCCGACACUCGUAGCGUUGCGCCAAGAGAUCACCAGCGGCGCACGGGGCACACCCUGGUCCCUGGUUGACGGCAUGAUCCAAUACAAGGACCGGCUCUACAUACCGCCUGCCGCCACUCUGAUCCAGGAAAUAGUCCAGGCGGUGCACGAGGACAACCACGAGGGCGUUCAGAGGACGCUGCACCGACUCCGCCGAGAUUUCCAUUUCCCUAACAUGAAACAAUUGGUGCAGGAUUUCGUUCGGGAGUGCAGCGUUUGCCAGCGUUACAAGUCGGAACACAUGAAUCCGGCGGGACUUCUCAUACCUCUGCCUGUGCCGAACAGUGUCUGGACCGACAUAGCGCUGGAUUUCAUCGAGGCGCUGCCCAAAGUGCGCGGCAAGUCCGUCAUUUUGACAGUGGUGGACCGUUUCAGCAAGUACUGUCACUUUAUACCACUGGCGCACCCGUACUCAGCAGAGUCUGUCGCAGAAGCUUUCUUCAUCAACAUUGUUCGUCUGCAUGGCGUACCACAGUCGAUGGUGUCGGAUCGCGAUCCGGUCUUCACAUCAAUAUUCUGGCGCGAGCUCAUGCGCCUGACAGGGACCAAGCUCCACAUGACUACAACAUUUCACCCUCAGUCGGAUGGACAGUCCGAGGCGGCUAACCGGGUCAUCAUUAUGUAUCUCCGCUGCCUUACAGAGGACAGGCCGCGACAAUGGCUGCGUUGGAUUCCGUGGGCGGAGUUCAUCUUCAAUACGGCGUACCAAACAUCCCUGCACGACACGCCAUUCCGUGUCGUCUACGGUCGCGAUCCACCGUCACUCCGAUCGUACGAGCCAGGCGACACGAGGGUCGCUGCCGUCGCCCGGAGCAUAGCAGAGCGCGACGAGUUCCUCGCCGACAUUCGCUCUCGGCUAGAGCAGGCGCAGCAGGUUCAGAAGCGCUACUACGACGCCGGACAUCGCCAGGUGGUCUACCAAGUAGGCGACUGGGUCCUCCUCCGCCUGCGUCAGCGUGCAGCCUCCUCGCUUCCUCAGGCCUCGACGGGAAAGCUAAAGCCCCGCUAUUUCGGGCCCUACUGCAUCACCGAGAUGAUCAACGACGUCGCCGUCCGUCUCGACUUACCAACCGGAGCCCGCCUGCAUGACGUGUUCCAUGUCGGACUUCUCAAGAAAUUCCAUGGGACUCCGCCAGCAGCACCUCCACCUCUGCCGACAAUUCACCAUGGCGCGGUUGUCCCAGAGCCGGAACACGCGGUGCGCUACCGACUUGCACGUGGUGUGCGCCAAGUGCUGAUUCAGUGGAAAGGUCAAUCAGCUGCAUCGGCCACCUGGGAGGACAUCGACACAUUCCGUGCCAAGCAUCCAGCGUUCCAGCUCGGGGACGAGCUGGGUCUCGACGGAGGGGGAGAUGUCAUGUGGGGACAAGUCUACACUAGGAGGCGCAGGGCCAGGGACGUACGUCGAGCAGAGGAACGUGCGGCCAGGGGGGACGCGCGCACAGCUGGCUCGAGCUGAUCGAGUAGAUAAGGCAGAUGGAUAUUAUUAGUUUUCCCUUAGGAGUUAUCAGUUCCAUAAUUUCAGGAGUUUGUUACUCCAGUUAGUUGGGCUAUGGCCCUAUAUAUUCUUGUAACCAGGACCAUUAAGGCAAGCAGAUUAUUAGCCUCAUCUCUCUCUUAUUUUCUAAAAGCCUACGGUAGAGGGGAAUAACCUCACCGGAGAAGACGGCCGACGGCUACGAGCUCCGUAGCCGCGGUCCAGCCAGCCAAGGGUUUAACGCCCUUGACAGUUUGUUUGUGGGCCUUUUGCUCUUUUCCUUUCAGUUCAGGUUGUUGUUUUUUCCUCUUUUUUCAACAGUUUUCUGGCUUUUCUGCCGUGGGUAAUCUGGUUUGGGAAGGCCAGCAAGCACUGAAGCACUCAAACUUUAUUUUGAGCAUUGCCCUUUCAGUGUCUUUUUGACUCCUGUGGUAUUUGUUUGUUCAGGAAAUAUGUUUUGUAUAUUUGGUUUUCAAGCCCUGUGGUAAUGUGACAUUCUUAGAGAUACCAUGGCUAUUUGGUUUCAGAUGUGGUAUUCUCAUUUCAUAGGUGCUGAGUUUGUAUUGGAGUACUUUGUUAGGUUCCAUGCCUUCGUAAGAUGUCUUAUUCUGUCAGGUUUCUUGCAAAUACAAACUCUCCCCCCCCCUCUGUGAUGUAGUAUGCUGAAGACAGAGGCCUUGUGUAUUUUCUGUAAUUGGUAAAAGUAAUUGGGAUUGUUGGUGAGAUCUGAAAACCCAGUUGAAAUGCUUUUAGGAAGUAUAGUUAUUUUUAUGUACACAAUGACAUGCCAGUUAUCUAUUAGUCCAGAAUCUGAGUGAAACCCAAAACAAAACUAGCUGAAUAUGAGGUUGUAACCAGUCCCUUUUUAUGGCUUACCUAUAUACAAUAAAUUGUAAAGUCACAAGUGAAUGAGGUAACAUGAAAAUGACUAAUUCAUGGCUAAAAUGCAUCGGUUUCACUUGCUAUAUUCAAGGAGUUAGUGUUAUGAAUCUGAUCAAUCAGAGCUUGAAAGUUGUUUUCAAGUCUCUAAAUCACCAACAAUUUUAGCAUGUCCUUCUACUCUAAGUGGAAGGCGACCUGGCCAUAUACUUGUUUUUUCCGGUUGGCCAAUGCGGCGAAAGUUGAUAUCUGAUGUAGGUGUGCAAUCUGGAGAGUUGGUGGGCAUUGAUGCUUUUAUGUUUCUGGUUGCUAGCAGUAAUUCAUAGGCUCUGCCUUAUUUAUCUAAUGUAUUUGUUGCUUUACACUGUAAAUCUUCUUUCCCGUGGAAUUAUCUUAUUUGGUUCAGAGAUAUACUGCUAACUAUCUUAUUGUCAGUUGCUAGACAUAAGACUGUGUUCAGCGGUUCUCCCCCUAUAUCCCACUCACGUGCCACGUCAGCGUUCUCUUCCCCCCUAUAUCUCCACGCUCUACAGCGGUUCCCCCUAUAUCAAACCUCCACAUCCAUAAAAUAUUAUUUCCUAUACCAAUUUAUCAUCCAUUAUAAUUUUUUCUCUACUAACUAUUGUUGUCUAACUAUUGUUGUCGGCACAAAACCCAAG
rnacentral:lncRNA from 1 species